rnacentral:rRNA from 1 species
UACGGAGGGUGCGAGCGUUGUCCGGAAUCAUUGGGCGUAAAGGGCGCGUAGGUGGCCCGGUGAGUCUUUGGUGAAAGCGCGGGGCUCAACCCUGCGUCGGCCAGGGAUACUGCCGCGGCUCGAGCACUGUAGAGGCAGGCGGAAUUCCGGGUGUAGCGGUGGAAUGCGUAGAGAUCCGGAAGAACACCGGUGGCGAAGGCGGCCUGCUGGGCAGUGGCUGGACGCUGAGGCGCGACAGCGUGGGGAGCAAACAGG